UACGUAGGGUGCAAGCGUUGUCCGGAAUUACUGGGCGUAAAGAGUUCGUAGGCGGUUUGUCGCGUCGUUUGUGAAAACCAGCAGCUCAACUGCUGGCUUGCAGGCGAUACGGGCAGACUUGAGUACUGCAGGGGAGACUGGAAUUCCUGGUGUAGCGGUGAAAUGCGCAGAUAUCAGGAGGAACACCGGUGGCGAAGGCGGGUCUCUGGGCAGUAACUGACGCUGAGGAACGAAGGCGUGGGUAGCGAACAGG
rnacentral:rRNA from 1 species